GUAACAGCUCACUGGUCGAGCGACAGGGCAUCGAUAAUAAUCGGGCAUCAAGCAUAUUACCGAAGCUGCGGAUUGUAGUUUACUACAGUGGUAGGGGAGCAUUCCCUUCUGCGGUGAAGGCGCCUGGUCAUGGGCGCUGGAGCGUAGGGAAAAGCAAAUGUAGGCAUAAGUAACGAUAAUGCGGGCGAGAAACCCGCACACCAAUAGACUAAGGUUUCCUGAUCAACGUUAAUCGGAUCAGGGUUAGUCGG
rnacentral:rRNA from 1 species